GACGAACGCUGGCGGCGUGCUUAACACAUGCAAGUCGAACGGAAAGGCCCUGCUUUUGUGGGGUGCUCGAGUGGCGAACGGGUGAGUAACACGUGAGUAACCUGCCCUUGACUUUGGGAUAACUUCAGGAAACUGGGGCUAAUACCGGAUAGGAGCUCCUGCUGCAUGGUGGGGGUUGGAAAGAUUCGGCGGUUGGGGAUGGACUCGCGGCUUAUCAGCUUGUUGGUGGGGUAGUGGCUUACCAAGGCUUUGAAGGGUAGCCGGCCUGAGAGGGUGACCGGCCACAUUGGGACUGAGAUACGGCGCAGACUCCUACGGGAGGCAGCAGUGGGGAGUAUUGCAGAAUGGGCGGAAGCGUGAGGCAGCAACGCCGCGUGCGGGAUAACGGCCUUCGGGUUGUAAACCGCUUUCGCCUGUGACGAAGCGUGAGUGACGGUAAUGGGUAAAGAAGCACCGGCUAACUACGUG
rnacentral:rRNA from 1 species